CAGAGGGGACCAGGCAGGGCUCAUCUGAAGCGUGAAGGCUGAAGAACAUCUGGAUGUGUUCAUGUUUAGCAAUUUCCAUGCAGCAGAUGUUGUAUCUGGUUUCUCCAUUCACACACAACUGCAGCUAGAUGCUACUGAGAGUCACUGUUACCUGUACAAGGACCUUGAAAUCUGGGAGCUUCCUGUGAGUGUUAAAUCUUUGCUUCCCCUGGGGAAGGACCUGACUGUCCCCUACAAAAACCGCAGUGCCCAUGUCCAGAGCACAGCUCUUCUAGGCCUGGAGAGCUCACUCUCUUCCGUGGGGUCUGAGGGCACAUUUAUCCCAGGGGAACAAACACUGCUGUGCACAUAUCAUGCUACAGAAAGCCAAGGAGCUGAAGGUGGGAAUGGAGCCCCUUGUGUGUUGUGGAUUCGGACAUGGGUGUUUACCAAACCCUUUUGGUAGACUCUCCUGCAUCCAGUAGAGCAAGGGCACUCCUGGUUGCACCUCUGAGGACUGAUGAUGGUGGUUCAGUGAGGGUGCACUGUGUCUGCACAUACACUCUUCCCCACCAACACACAGCAGUAGCAUAAGUGGUCCAAAUACCAGUUCUUUGGAGAUGUUAAAACAUCUCCUCUAAAACUCCUGCCUGAAGCUGCAGCAGCUGGGGCUGGGGUAGGUGUGUUUGCUGAGCAAGCAGCUGCUGUUUGCACAGAGGGGAUUCAUUAGGCUACAGUUUGAUUGAACUUUGUUCUGAGGGUCACGUAUUAUAACUUGUGCCCCUCUUACCUCCACUGCCUUGGCUUUGGAUCCUGUUCUCUAAUGUGGGCCAAGAGAAUGAACUUCCUUGUGGACAUUUAUUUCUACGUUUCCUGCUUUCUGGUUCUUCCUCAUGCUUAUCCUCUGUAUUUUCUGCAAUACUCUGACCCAGGGGAGCCAGCAGGACACCUUGGAGGGGCUUCUGGAUAGACAACACAUCCCAGGAAGAGCCAUCUUCACAUCUGCUGACCCCAUCUUCAAAAAGGCAGUUCCACAAUAAGGAGAAUGCAGGUCCAGGUUUGGAAGAAGUUAAGAGAUGAGGAACUGAGCCUCAGGAGAGAGCUACUGGAGCAUUUUGGGCUGUUUAGCAUUGUCCUGUCAAUGCUAAAAGGGGGAAGCCAUAGAUACAUGUAUGGUUUGAAGUGGCCUAGGACUAACUACAGACAUGAGGUCAAAGCACAAGGAACAGAAAGUCUCUAAUGGUGUCUGUGUAGCUGCAGUGGCUUCCACCAGCCUUGGAAAGUGUGAAGACCAUCUCUGGAGGGUGGUCUCUGUGUUCUCAUGCAUGGUAGCUCUAGGGAGGGGUUGGCAAGGUGCCCCUUCAAAACAGCGCCUAUGCCCCAGGUAAUGAGUAUGUUCACAGUGUUCAGAGACCUUUGGGCCAUUGUCUUUCUGUUGGUGCAGGAUGUGUCUCUUUCCAGAUGUUCCUUAGAUGGUCUGGGACCAUUAUUUUCCUUUCGAUGGACCAACACUAGAAGACAGUGCACAAAGCCUUUCUCUGUCUUUGCAUUGCUCCUUACCCUUACCAAUACCCUUACCCAUACAGAUCAUGAUCUUGUAGGUAUCCCUUGCUUUCCUUUUCACCAUCCAAGUCUCUGAGCAAGAGGUACAUGAAUGAGAGAGUUUGACAACUGUGAGCUGGGAAAGGGCUGAGUUAACAAAAAAAAUUAACCAAAACAGUGGGAUCUUUCCUCAAAGUGGCAACCAGUCUUGCCAUGUGUUAGAUGUCAGAAAGCUGUCCCAAGUCAAGUUGUAUGAGCAGG